GAUGAAGAACGCAGCGAAAUGCGAUACGUAAUGUGAAUUGCAGAAUUCAGUGAAUCAUCGAAUCUUUGAACGCAUAUUGCUCUCUCUGGUAUUCCGGAGAGCAUGCUUGUUUGAGUAUCAGUAAACACCUCAACUUCCAUAUCUUUUUUGAAAUGGGAGUUGGACUUGAGUGAUCCCAACGCUUUUCCUCACCGAAAAGUGGCGGGUUACUUGAAAUGCAGGUGCAGCUGGACUUUUCUCUGAGCUAUAAGCAUAUCUAUUUAGUCUGCCUAAAAAACAGAUUAUUACCUUUGCUGCAGCUAACAUAAAGGAGAUUAGUUCUUGUGCUGACUGAUGCAGGAUUCACAAAGACAGGCUUCGGCCGACUUUGUAAACUCGAUCUCAAAUCAAGUAAGACUACCCGCUGAACUUAAGCAUAUCAAUAAGCGGAGGA
rnacentral:misc_RNA from 1 species